GGGAAGAGAAGAUCAUAAGCACAGGGAGGGGCACCCGUGGGGGUUCAGUCGGUGAAAAAUCUGUCUUCGGCUCAGGUCGUGAUCCCAGGGUCCUGGGAUCGAGCUCUGCAUCGGGCUCCCUACUCAGCAGGGAGUCUGCUUGUCCCUCUGCCCACCUCCCUUGCUCAUGC